rnacentral:rRNA from 1 species
CCUACGGGAGGCUGCAGUGAGGAAUAUUGGUCAAUGGGCGAGAGCCUGAACCAGCCAAGUCGCGUGAGGGAGUACUGCCCUAUGGGUUGUAAACCUCUUUUGUCGGGGAGCAAAAGCCGGACGUGUCCGGCUGUGAGAGUACCCGAAGAAAAAGCAUCGGCUAACUCCGUGCCAGCAGCCGCGGUAAUACGGAGGAUGCGAGCGUUAUCCGAAUUUAUUGGGUUUAAAGGGUGCGCAGGCGGAUUUUUAAGUCAGCGGUAAAAUCGUGGGGCUCAACCCCAUCCAGCCGUUGAAACUGGGGAUCUAGAGUGUGCGAGAGGUAUGCGGAAUGCGUGGUGUAGCGGUGAAAUGCAUAGAUAUCACGCAGAACCCCGAUUGCGAAGGCAGCAUACCGGUGCACAACUGACGCUCAGGCACGAAAGCGUGGGUAUCGAACAGGAUUAGAUACCCUUGUAGUC